rnacentral:rRNA from 1 species
AUGCUGUGUUGGCCGUGGAGGAGGAAGGAGCUCAUGUGGCUAGGGUUUGGCUACCCUCGUCAUCCAUCUCCUCGAUCUCUCUCUGCCUGGCCGUGGUCUGAAGGAGGAAGAAGGGACGCAGCGAAAUCGAGCGAUGCGGGCUGCAAUAGCCUAAAUAGGUGGCGGUCGAGACCACGGGAGCGGGAGCGAUGGCCAUCUGCCCCCGCCCCACUCUCUUUACCUCUUCUAUGGAGAUGCUUUGCUGGGGACAUAUGA